rnacentral:rRNA from 1 species
GACGAUCGCUGGCGGCGUGCUUAACACAUGCAAGUCGAGCGGAAAGGCUCCUUCGGGGGUACUCGAGCGGCGAACGGGUGAGUAACACGUGAGUAAUCUGCCCUUGGCUUCGGGAUAGCCACCGGAAGCGGUGAUUAAUACCGGAUACGACAACUUCUCGCAUGGGAUGGUUGUGGAAAGUUUUUUCGGCCAGGGAUGUGCUCGCGGCCUAUCAGCUUGAUGGUGAGGUAAUGGCUCACCAUGGCUUCGACGGGUAGCCGGCCUGAGAGGGUGACCGGUCACACUGGGACUGAGACACGGCCCAGACUCCUACGGGAGGCAGCAGUGGGGAAUAUUGGACAAUGGGCGGAAGCCUGAUCCAGCAACGCCGCGUGAGGGAUGACGGCCUUCGGGUUGUAAACCUCUUUCGGUAGGGACGAAGCGCAAGUGACGGUACCUGCUAAAGAAGCACCGGCCAACUACGUGCCAGCAGCCGCGGUAA